AGUGAACGCUGGCGGUAGGCCUAACACAUGCAAGUCGAACGGCAGCACAGUAAGAGCUUGCUCUUACGGGUGGCGAGUGGCGGACGGGUGAGGAAUACAUCGGAAUCUACUUUUUCGUGGGGGAUAACGUAGGGAAACUUACGCUAAUACCGCAUACGACCUACGGGUGAAAGCAGGGGAUCUUCGGACCUUGCGCGAUUGAAUGAGCCGAUGUCGGAUUAGCUAGUUGGCGGGGUAAAGGCCCACCAAGGCGACGAUCCGUAGCUGGUCUGAGAGGAUGAUCAGCCACACUGGAACUGAGACACGGUCCAGACUCCUACGGGAGGCAGCAGUGGGGAAUAUUGGACAAUGGGCGCAAGCCUGAUCCAGCCAUACCGCGUGGGUGAAGAAGGCCUUCGGGUUGUAAAGCCCUUUUGUUGGGAAAGAAAAGCAGCAGGUUAAUACCCCUGCUGUUCUGACGGUACCCAAAGAAUAAGCACCGGCUAACUUCGUG
rnacentral:rRNA from 1 species